CAUCUAUUUGCUUAAUUCAUUACUGUGCAAGCCCUUCAAAGAGGGGAACAGAGAGCGAAUAAACUUAGAUUUGAAAUUAAGUCAUUUCGUAGAGAUCUUAAGAGUGGUAAGCACUGGGGGGAAAAACUAUUAUUUUGAAUAUUUUUUUACAUCAUCAUUGUCCCUGCCUCCCAGCACUUACUAAUAUGGACAAUCAAGAAACUGAUGCAAUGAAAAACAAAACAGAAUACUAAUAGGACUACUCUGCAAACAUGAAAACGGGCUCGGAAAUGAACUCAUGCUCCUACACCCUUAAAACAUAAGCUCGAUUUUUAAAAAACACUAACUACAGUUUUUGCAAAAUAACUGGAUAAACAAGACAAGGGGGAAACCGUGGCAUUAUUUCUUAAAAGGAACACCUCCCUAAAGCCACGGCAAAAACAAUGCUCAACUGAACGUAGAUCUAAAAGGCCCAUGAUCCCCCUUCAUAUGUAGUUAUCACACAUUCUCAGACGGUCUUUCUGGGUGAGAAGCCUUCAAAACGCCUCUCCACCUUGAAAACACGUUCCAGAACUGGAAGGAAUGGGGGGAGGGGGGCAGAUCUGCUGGAAGUUACAGGCCCUCCUCUCGGUUGAGCACGGACAACUUGGAGCCUUCUGACCCUUUUCACCCAACAGGGGAAGAGAGCCAACGGUCCUUGUAUUCUCCCAGACUCCAGGCGACAUGGAUCAAGUUCUCCAAGAGUUUCCCUGAAAGCACCUCUCACAUAGCUUGAGGCACUGCUUUAGGUAGUGAGGAUACAACGGUGAGCAAGACAAAGUCCCUGACUCAUGGAAUUUACAAUUUGGGAGACAGAUAAUGAGCAUCUGAAAAACGAAGAUAAUUUCAGGGAACCUAACAAUGAUGCCCAUUCAGAAAGAUGAAGGUCUCCUGGAAAUAUUCUCUUUAACCUAUGAUGUAUGUCAAGAGGAGUGGUCCAAUGUUCUGUUUUUGACUGAUUAUGGAGCAAUAAAGGAAUGGACAAAGGUAAAGUUUUUCUGCUCCUCAACUCUUAGCCUUGAAGAUUUGGCCAAUGGAGAUGAAUCAAUUUCACUGUAGCCCCAUGGAAACUGACGGUUGUGCUAUGCUUGGAGAAGAUUCUUUGUGACUAUUUUCAGAUGCACACCUCAGAUUAUUA